AACGAACGCUGGCGGCAUGCCUAACACAUGCAAGUCGAACGAGACCUUCGGGUCUAGUGGCGCACGGGUGCGUAACGCGUGGGAACCUGCCCUUAGGUUCGGAAUAACUCCCCGAAAGGGGUGCUAAUACCGGAUAAUGUCUUCGGACCAAAGAUUUAUCGCCUUUGGAUGGGCCCGCGCUGGAUUAGCUAGUUGGUAGGGUAAAAGCCUACCAAGGCGACGAUCCAUAGCUGGUCUGAGAGGAUGAUCAGCCACACUGGGACUGAGACACGGCCCAGACUCCUACGGGAGGCAGCAGUGGGGAAUAUUGGACAAUGGGCGAAAGCCUGAUCCAGCAAGGCCGCGUGAGUGAUGAAGGCCUUAGGGUUGUAAAGCUCUUUUACCCGGGAUGAUAAUGACAGUACCGGGAGAAUAAGCUCCGGCUAACUCCGUG
rnacentral:rRNA from 1 species